rnacentral:rRNA from 1 species
GAUGAACGCUGGCGGCGUGCUUAACACAUGCAAGUCGAACGAACCUUCGGGUUAGUGGCGGACGGGUGAGUAACGCGUGAGAAUCUGCCCUCAGGAGGGGGAUAACGGCUGGAAACGGCCGCUAAUACCCCAUAUGCCGAGAGGUGAAAUGAAUUUCGCCUGAGGAUGAGCUCGCGUCUGAUUAGCUAGUUGGUGUGGUAAAGGCUCACCAAGGCAUCGAUCAGUAGCUGGUCUGAGAGGAUGAUCAGCCACACUGGGACUGAGACACGGCCCAGACUCCUACGGGAGGCAGCAGUGGGGAAUUUUCCGCAAUGGGCGCAAGCCUGACGGAGCAACGCCGCGUGAGGGAUGAAGGCCUCUGGGCUGUAAACCUCUUUUAUCAAGGAAGAAGAU